GUCCACGCCGUAAACGAUGAGUGCUAGGUGCUGUGGGUAUUGACCCCCGCGGUGCCGCAGCUAACGCGUUAAGCACUCCGCCUGGGGAGUACGGCCGCAAGGCUAAAACUCAAAGGAAUUGACGGGGGCCCGCACAAGCGGUGGAGCAUGUGGUUCAAUUCGACGCAACGCGCAGAACCUUACCUGGGUUAAAUCCAUUCAAAGCUGCCAGAGAUGGCGGGGUGCCCUUCGGGGAAUGAAUGAGAAGGUGCUGCAUGGCUGUCGU
rnacentral:rRNA from 1 species